rnacentral:lncRNA from 1 species
CCUUUUCAAUAGUCGUCUGGCGCGAAAAGGACGAUAACUCAAUUUUAGAAUUUAAUAUUUUUGGAGACGGUCAAUUUCCGGAAUUGCAUGCUUUAUCAUCAGGAUUGUUUUCUUUGGCCGUCGACGACAGAACUAUUGCUGCAUUCUUUGACUCUAAGAUAUAUUUAACAAGGCAGUAUUAUCAAUGUAUUAUCGUGGUAUCGAUAUACGUUAAUAAUGCUAGAUACCUGAAUUAAUUGUAAUUUUGGCAAGGACAAUGCAUCCCUUCCCCUGAAAACAUGAUUUUGUAAAAUAUCACUUAUCGGCAUCUCCGG